UUUCAAGAAAAUCACACAAAUUUUCACAGCUCUAUUUUCUUCCAUUCCAAAUUUGCUGGUUUUUGAGAGAAGGGAGAGGAGUUCAUUAUUGAUAUUGUGCAAGAUUAAUGGGUCUUAAUGAUAAGAUGGUAGUGCACAGUGGUGGAUGUCAUUGCAAGAGAAUAAGAUGGGAAGUGGAAGCAGCAAGCAGUGUCAUAGCUUGGGAUUGCAACUGUUCAAAUUGCUCCAUGAGAGGCAAUACACAUUUCACUGUUCCUUCUAAACAUUUUACGCUUUUGGGAGACUCGCACAACUUCAUUUCAACCUACACUUUUGGGACUCAUACUGCAAAGCAUACCUUUUGUAAAGUUUGUGGGAUCACUUCUUUUUACCAUUCACGCUCAACUCCAGAUGGGGUUUCGGUCAGUUUCAGAUGUGUUGAUCCUGGCACUUUGGAUCAUGUUCAGAUUAUCAAGUUUGAUGGUAGAAAUUGGGAGCAAGCUCAUCAUCAUUUGUCACAGAACUAGUCGUAGCAUAUACCCUUUCUUUCGUGUUUGCUAUAACAACUUUUGUAUCUUCACACAGGGGACUUUAUAUAUAAAUUAGAUGUCUAUUUCCUUCA